CCGCCCAUGUUCAACCCAUAUAUUUUUGAAAAUAAUGUAAAAAAUUGAAUCAAUAUUCCAUUUUUCUCUCAAAUUUCAGACACUAUCUCUCAUCAAAAUGUUUUUUCCUAAUUCAAUUAAAAUUUAUUGAUUAAAACAACCCAAAAGAGAGUUACAAAAUUAGAAGAUAUCAAUCAUAAAAAAAGGUACCCUAAAAUCAAAACACUUACCUAAAACAGAAGGAAUAAAAAUAGAAUCUUCAAC
rnacentral:lncRNA from 1 species